rnacentral:rRNA from 1 species
UACGUAGGGCGCGAGCGUUGUCCGGAAUUAUUGGGCGUAAAGAGCUCGUAGGCGGUUUGUCGCGUCGGCCGUGAAAACUUGGGGCUUAACCCCGAGCCUGCGGUCGAUACGGGCAGACUUGAGUUCGGCAGGGGAGACUGGAAUUCCUGGUGUAGCGGUGAAAUGCGCAGAUAUCAGGAGGAACACCGGUGGCGAAGGCGGCUGCCUGGCCCAAUACUGACACUCAGGUGCGACAGCGUGGGGAGCAAACAGG